CAGCCCUAAACGAUGCGCGUUAGGUGUAUCGGUGACCACGAGUCACCGAGGUGCCGAAGGGAAACCGUGAAACGUGCCGCCUGGGAAGUACGGUCGCAAGGCUGAAACUUAAAGGAAUUGGCGGGGGGAGCACCACAACGGGUGGAGCUUGCGGUUUAAUUGGAUUCAACGCCGGAAAUCUUACCGGGACCGACAGCAACAUGAAGGCCAGGCUGAAGACUUUGCCGGAUUAGCUGAGAGGAGGUGCAUGGCGUAGUCGUGU
rnacentral:rRNA from 1 species